rnacentral:rRNA from 1 species
UACGGAGGGGACUAGCGUUGUUCGGAAUUACUGGGCGUAAAGCGCACGUAGGCGGAUUUGUAAGUCAGGGGUGAAAUCCCGGGGCUCAACCUCGGAACUGCCUUUGAUACUGCAAAUCUCGAGUCCGGAAGAGGUGAGUGGAAUUCCUAGUGUAGAGGUGAAAAUUCGUAGAUAUUAGGAAGAACACCAGUGGCGAAGGCGGACUCACUGUCCGGUACGUGACGCUGAGGUGCGAAAGCGUGGGGAG